AACUCUCUGCAUAUAACAUACUUCAUCAGAGAAGCGGGGGCUGAGUUGGUUUUAUAUAUCCCUUCUAAUCGCCAUUCGGGUCAUCAUAAAUUACAGCUCUCAGCUGCGUGGGAACAGAGAGGAAGGAGUGAUCAGCUCUUGAGAAGAGGGUGUUUUUGUAGUUUGCUGUAAUUUCUCUUAGGUGUGAGAGAAGAAGGCAGCACAGCAAGUAGGUUUAAUCAACGGGUUUAAGAGUUAACAAGGAGGGUGCCGUCUGGCUAGGUUUCGAUAUCACCAUUGGAGGUAGUUCCGGAAGAAGGAACUAGGCUUGGUUGAUUUGAAGUGUUGAUAUUGAAGUUGCUAGACUUGUGAAAGGUAAUCAGGGUGAUAUGGGAUGAGUGAGAGUGACACAAGACUUUGGAGGCUGUAGCAUCCCAGUAUUUUAAGGAGAAGGUAGUAGCCGAGGUAAAGAAACGGCUAAAUAGAAGUGUUUUGAAGAAGCAUUUGGGUAAGAGCUAUGUUGUGUGGAUUGAAAGUAUUUGAUGAUUAGAUAUCCCUUUUGGUCCAUGGGCUCCCAAGUACCCUAAAAACUCGUAUUUUUGUAAAUGAAAUGAUGAAGUAUAGGGUAUGGUCUUGUUAUGUAUUUUGUUAAACUUAAACUCAACUUUGGUAUUGUAAGUUUAGUGUCAAAGUGCUAAACCUUACGUUGGUAAAAUGGGUAAGACGACCCGUCAUGGUGACGAAUUGUGUUUUUGAGGAA